rnacentral:lncRNA from 1 species
AGCAAAGGGAGUUAUUGCCAGUAAAUUGCAAUCCUUUUUGGGUUCUCUCUCUGGAUCUCCUCAGGAAGUUAUUACUGCUUUGUAUGAGGCACUCUUGGAUGGUGUUGAGAAAGGAUUUGCCAAGGAGGUUAUUAAGAAGAAAAGCUACCUUGCUGCCAUUGCUCAAGACGAGGAGUCUCAACUACGAUUGCUUCAAGCUAUAGAAGAGUUCUCUGGGAAAUCCAACUCAGUUGCACUGAAGGAAGUGGCUCUGGUUUUGAAAGCUUUGUACGAUGAUGAUCUGUUGGAAGAGGAAUAUAUAGUACAGUGGUACAACAAGGGUGUUACUGCGAACAAGGACUCCAAAAUUUGGAAGAAUGUCAAACCCUUUGUCGAAUGGCUACAGAGUGCUGAGUCCGAAUCCGAAGAGGAAUGAGAUCAGAUUGCUGUCUGGUGUGCUUUAGUUUGCUUUCCCUGAAUGACCACCAUAUUUUAAAUUCAUGUUUUUUUUUUUUUUUAAUUUUUUUUUUUUUAUGUUUGUGUUGUUUGUUUGCCUUUGGUGCAGACUCGUAUUGGGUCCAUAUUGCAAGACUCUUUUGCCUCUUGCCUUUUAAGUGUCUUUUACGUGAGUAGAACUUUUAAUUAUCAUGUUUUGGUGUUGAGUCAUACACUCCAACCUUGUCUUGCUGUUACAUUUUAUAAGUCAUGUUAUUAUAUUAUAUGCUCCGUUGUACUGAACAAAAAUCCUUGAGUUUAAAAAUGUUAAGCUUAAUAUCAAUCAACAAGUGCAUAUACAAAGUAGCCAUUCAUUGAAUGGACAGCCACCAAAUGUGUUGGAUUGACAACAUUAUACAGUCAUCUGUUUUAUAAUAUUUCUUAUAUUAUAUUAGUUCAUGCAUAAUUUGUGUCCACUUGACAAAAUGGUGAUGUGCCACUUUGGUGACCAGACAAUCCAUAUAGUUUAAAGUGGUAUAGUUCUUCAACUAUGUAUUUGCAAAAUCAGUACACAUUCAGUCUUUAGCUAACGUUUUCUACAAAAUAUCAAGUCAUCAAUGGAAUGCAUUAAUUUUCAUCAUAUUCGGACAUCGGUAUAUGUGCAUAAAAACAAUGAUUUGGGCAACCAAAAUUUAAACUGAAAAUAAUGACGACAUAACUCAUGAAACAACAACAAAAAUUGUUAUAAUGUACCAUAUGCAAAUUGUAAGAUUAGAAAUUAAAAAUCAAAGAAAAAAGACUUUGCAAUUAUACAAUUUGUUUAAAAUUUCAAAGUUCUAUUUAAUAAGAACUAACUAAAAUUUCAACUUCAAAUUAAUCUAUUUCAAAUCAUUUCCAAACAAGACAUGGGAACCAUUUUUAGCUUUUUCUAAAAGUAUAAUACAUAAAUGUAUUAUUUAAUUUGACUUUAACUGACAAUUAUAUUUUUAACUUUUACUCUGCACAAAUAAAUCGUACAUAACAGAACACGUGCAUUUAUUUGUUUAAUUCUAUUGUGCACAUUCUAAAUUAGAGGGUAUGGAUAUGGGCCGAAUCCAAGUUAAAGGGUGUUUAUGUCUUUUGAUUUUUCUAAACUCUUCUCUCUCAAUUUUUCUUUCAAACCCUGUGUAUAAAAUUAUAAAUGAAGGAAACUUCUAGACCGGUUCUCCUCUAUCACCACCACUUCCCUAUCCUUUAUUAUUAAACCCUAUUCUACGUUUUUCUUCAAUUGCUCUCCUCAUCGUAUUGCAGAUUGCUCUGCUUCGUUCGAUCAAUAAGGUAUUUUUGAUUACUUUUUGUUCUUAUUUUCAUCUUAUUCUAUGCUUUAUCAAUUGACUAGCGGAAUUUUGAAGUUGUUAAAUCAAUGUUCAUUGCGUAUUUAAUUACGUUAUACAACUGUUCAUCGUCGUCCUGAUCUAUUUUGUUUUAGUGUUUUUUUGUUCCGAUCUGUUAUUUGAAUUGAUUGAUAAUAUAUUUUACUGAUCUGAUGGCCCCCAAGGCCUAGCUCGAGUGGCAAAAGGUGGAGGAUUUGUGACUUAGGUCGCAGGUUCAAGCCCCACACCAUGCAAAGUGAAGCCCGUUAUUUAAGUGGAGAAGGGUAGAGGGGCGGGCCCAUUAUCCACCGAGUUUAGAAGGCUGUGAUUGGUCCAAAGGGCGGGUCACAGACGGAUUUCUCGGUUAUCAAAAAAAAAUAAAAAUAAAAUAUUUUACUGAUCUGAUGAGAUUAUUAGGCGGAUGUUUUUAGAGAAUUUUCUAGCUUUAGAUGAGUCCUAAUUUGGCUUUAAAGACUUAUUUUUUGAAUCGGAGAGGAAAUAGGAGAAAUAGAGGGGAAUGGAGAUAGGUAGUUCAUAUAUCAGAUUCCAAAUAGUUUGGCAUUGAUUGAACGGAUUUUGUAUGUUUUCAUCUGUAUAAAAUGGACACUGAUUUCUUUAGUCGGAGUAGAUUGUGAAAGAAUAGUUUAUUUUGAUAGUUGUUGCCUGUAUUUGUGGUGUUCUCUUUUUGUCAAAAGUGAGCUGAAUGUCUCUACAACUUGAAAUGAGUCGAGUUAGUGCGAAAUGGAUAUAGAUAGUUCAUAUGUCAAAUUCCAAAUAAUUGCAUUGAUUGAAUGGAUUUUGUACGUUUCAAUCUGAAUAAAACGGACAUUGAUUUCUUUAGUCGGAGUGGAUUGUAAAAUGAUAGCUUAUUUGGUAGUUGUUGCCUAUAUUUGUGCGGUUCCCUUUUAGUCAGAAGUGAGAUGAACAGUGUUAUUAAAAGCGAGCGUGAGAAGCGAAGCUGGUAUCGCUUUUUUUUUCAGUACAGCGAGCCUAUAGUGAAAAAGCGAGCUUCUUUGGUCCCAGAAUUGAGAAGCGAGACUUCAGUAAAAAGCGAGAAAAAAGCUCAUUUUUCUGCUUAAGCAACAGUAACUAGUUCUUUUUUAAAAAAAAAUAAAAAAUUGUUAAAACAUUUUGCGACUUCUUUCUGAACAUUUCCCACUGUUUCACUUCUUCUUCUUUGCUCUGUUUCUCUACUGCGAGCUUGCGCUAAGGUUUUCUUUUUCAACUUGUAAUCUUCAAUUUUCUCUGUUUUGCAAUAUAAUCUUCUCUGCGAUUGUGCUACAGCGUUGUCUUUUUUUUUUUCCUUACUUUUUUUGCAAUUUUUUUACUCUAUUUUGUAUUUAUUUCUCUGUUUUGUGCUGUUUAUGUCCAUACUCUGCAAUUUUUCCUCUUUUUUGUAAUGGUUUUUGCUAUUCUGUCUCUGUUUUCACCUUUCUGUGUUUUUGUAGUACAUUCUAUUUACUUUUUAAUUUAAGAAAUGAAAGAUUUUCUUAAUAUGUUAUUUCUAUUGAGUUCUUGAUUAUUUAUCAAUGCACAUUUGAUAUUUUUUAUUUUUGUACUAAAUAGCGCUUUAGUUUUUAUUGUUUAUUUGCUUCACACUUCUCGCUUUGGUGAAAAGCGAGCGCUUGUUGAUUUUUACGCCCCUCACUUUUCAAAACACUGGAGCAGAAUGGCUCUACAGUUUGAUCCCUAAUUUUUUAUGCAUUUAGAUUGUAAUGGAGUGGAAACAUUUCAAGUGGGAACACAAAUUAUAACAAGAAUUGUGUCGGCUAUUCAUUCUGUUGAAGAAGUAUUAAGACUUCCGCAUUGGGGAUAAACAUAGUCUAGUUUUUGAAAUUAAGCAAUCUUGGGGUUCUCUUUCAUGUUUUUGUAGGUUAUGCAGUUUGAAAGCUUAUAUACACACUGAUAAAUGACCCAAGGUAAUGUUGAAGUUCCUUGGCAGAUUAGUUUAUCAUUAUGUACCCUUAUUGUUCCUAUUCAUAGAAAAGUUUUAUAGAACAUGUUGCUUUUCAAGCUGCUAUUGCCAAAAGGAACUCAUUUUUCAAUCUUAAGGGUAGAACAGUUUGUGACUGUCAUUAUUAAAAUCAUUUACCUCAUUUAUUAAUAUAAACUUAGUGUAGUAAUUUUUAGUUUCCUUGCCUGUAGUUGAUUCGUGGUUCGUUUGUUUGAAGGUUGCAGGUGGUGUGCCUUCUGUAGAGUUCCGAAGUUGUAGUAGUCUAAGUGAAACUUCUUUUAUGUCCGAACAAGCCAUCUUCUAUUUGGGAUCCAUUGGAUUGCUUGGAGAAUAUUGUCCUACGUCAAAGAAAAAGAACCGUCAUUUCUCAGGUCGGGUUGACCGUAUGCAUCUCGAACCAUUAAAGGAAGAGCAUUACGACUAUUCUGGUUGCUGGAAGGCACAAUCAGCACUUUGCAAUUGUUCUGCUGAAGAAUUCUCUGAACAUACCUAACACUUCAUCCAGAAAUUUCUUACUGAAUCAAAGAUGGCUUUGCAAAACAUAGGUGCCAGCAACAGUGAUGAUGCCUUCUACAGGUAUAAGAUGCCCAGGAUGCUUACCAAGAUUGAGGGCCGUGGGAAUGGUAUCAAGACAAAUGUGGUGAACAUGGUUGAUAUUGCCAAAGCAUUAGCAAGGCCCCCAUCCUAUACAACAAAAUAUUUUGGAAAUGAGCUUGGGGCUCAGUCGAAAUUUGAUGAAAAAUCUGGAACUGCCCUUGUCAAUGGAGCUCAUGAAACCCCUAAACUUGCUGGUCUUCUCGAGAACUUUAUUAAGAAAUAUGUUCAGUGCUAUGGUUGCGGAAAUCCUGAAACAGAGGUCAUAAUAACCAAAACUCAGAUGAUCCAACUAAAAUGUGCUGCAUGUGGUUUCCUUUCUGAUGUGGACAUGAGGGACAAGCUGACAACUUUUAUACUUAAGAACCCGCCUGAGGCUAAGAAGGGCUCCAAGGACAAGAAAGCUAUGAGAAGAGCUGAGAAGGAGCGGCUGAAGGAAGGCGAGGCUGCUGAUGAAGAGCUGAAGAAGCUGAAGAAAGAAACAAAGAAAAAGGUUUCCUCCAAAGAUGCUAGCGCAAAACCUAAUUCUAAAAAGAAACAUGGUGGCUCUGAUGAGGAUCAUGCUUCACCACCUAGAAGCCAUGUUAAUGUGAAAGAAGAAGAGGAAGAAGAUGAUGAUGAUGACGACGUCCAGUGGCAGACAGAUACAUCGCUGGAAGCUGCUCAGCAGCGUAUACAAGAACAGCUAAAUGCUGCGACUGCCGAAAUGGUUAUGCUGUCCACAGUUGAGUCUGAGAAGAAGUCCAAAGCAGCUACUCAAACCCCAAGUCCUAAAGCAGCUGCUUCUGUGACACCUGAGAAUCCCAAGACCGAAAAUGGAGAGACAAACCAUGAGAGGCUUGUUAGGGAAGUAAAAACAAAUCUAAAGAAGGGAGUUGCCUCCAGCAAAAUACAAUCCUUUUUGGGUUCACUCUCUGGAUCUCCUCAGGAAGUUAUUAUUGCUUUUUAUGAAGCACUCUUGGAUGGCGUUGAGAAAGGAUUUGCCAAGGAGGUUAUUAAGAAGAAAAGCUACCUUGCUGCUGUUGCUCAAGACGAAGAGUCUCAACUCCGAUUACUUCGAGCUAUAGAAGAGUUUUCUGGGAAAUCCAACUCAGUUGCACUGAAGGAAGUGACUCUGGUUUUGAAAGCUUUGUAUGAUGAUGAUCUGUUGGAAGAGGAAUAUAUAGUACAGUGGUACAACAAGGGUGUUGCUGCGAACAAGGACUCCAAAAUUUGGAGGAAUGUCAAACCCUUUGUCGAAUGGCUGCAGAGUGCUGAGUCCGAGUCCGAAGAGGAAUGAGAUC